UUCUCUCCUUCUACCAUGUAGGUUCUGGAGGCAGGAUUUAGGUCAUCGGGCUUGACAACAAAUGUGUUUACCCACAAAGUCACCUCGCCUUCUGUAACUUUAAUUUUGAGUUUUGGAAGAGAUUUGGGGCUUUUGAACAAUGUUGAACUGUUAAGAUUUUAGAGAUUCUUUCAAAAGAACUAAAUGCAUUUUUCUAAUUAGAAAAUGCUGUGAGCCUCAGCCCACAGGUGUGCGAUGUUGAGUUUCAGAACUGCGGUACCAGCGUCAGGCUGACUAGAAGCACAGCUGUGAUGUGUGGGCUUCACUGUGAACCUGGCUGGAUUUAGAGCCGUCUGGGAAGCACCCCCCUGGUUUCCCCUCGCCUGGACUUUGCCACAGAGCGGUCCCAAGCCUCCAGGAUCUGGCUGUCUCUCGCCCCAUCUCACACGCUGAGUCUGCAAGUGUGAGCCACCAUUGUUGUGUGGGCCCUGAAGAUCCAAAUCCAGGCUUGCAUGGAGUGCUCGUGUGCCACAAAGUGUGUGUGGAGAGCACAGAAGAGCUUCCAGGACCUGGUUCUCAGCAGAAGUCCCGAAAAGAAGCGCCACAGACACAGGUGGAAGCAAUCCAUCAACUUCCUUGGCUUAGAGGAGUUUCUUCACUCCACUGCAGCCAACUUCCCUCCCUUCCGAGGAGCCAGGUCCUGGCCAGGUUCCAUCCUAUUUAAUAAGAGGGCAUUUUGUUCUUCUGUUUUGGUUUAUGAUAACAAUUCUAACAGCUGUUUAGUAUAA